rnacentral:rRNA from 1 species
UACGAAGGGGGCUAGCGUUGCUCGGAGUCACUGGGCGUAAAGGGUGCGUAGGCGGGUCUUUAAGUCAGGGGUGAAAUCCUGGAGCUCAACUCCAGAACUGCCUUUGAUACUGAAGAUCUUGAGUUCGGGAGAGGUGAGUGGAACUGCGAGUGUAGAGGUGAAAUUCGUAGAUAUUCGCAAGAACACCAGUGGCGAAGGCGGCUCACUGGCCCGAUACUGACGCUGAGGCACGAAAGCGUGGGGAGCGAACAGG